rnacentral:lncRNA from 1 species
GGGUCCUUGGGGUCAUGGUGGCACCCAUGGGUGGUGGUGGCACCCCACAGUGGUGGUGGCAGCCAUGGGUGGUGAUUGGAUCCUUGGGGUCAUGGUGGGGUCCUUGGGGUCAUGGUUGGGUCCUUGGGGUCAUGGUGGCACCCAUGGGUGCUGGUUGAGCCCUUGGGGUGGUGGUUGGGUUGUCGGGGUCAUGGUGGCACCCUGGGGUGCUGGUGGCACCCAAGGGUGCUGGUGGGUUCCUUGGGGCGCUGAUGCCACCAGAACCUUGUAGGUGCCACCAGGAGCUGGUGGUGGCACCCUGGGGUGCUGGUGGCACCCGAGGGUUGGCGUUGACACCCAGGGGUGCUGGUGGCGUCCUUGGGGUGCUGAUGGCACCCAAGGGUUCUGGUGGGACCUGAGGGUUGGCGUUGACACCCAGGGAUGCUGGUGGCACCCAGGGGUGCUGGUGGGUUCCUUGGGGUCAUGGUGGCACCCAUGGGUGGUGGUGGGCUCCUUGGGUUGGUGGUGUCACCCAAGGGUGUUGGUGGGUUCCUUUGGGUGCUGAUGGAGCCCUUGGGGUGCUGGUGGCACCCAAGGGUGCUGGUGGGUUUCUUGGGGUGCUGGUGGCACCCAAGGGUUGGCGCUGACACCCAGGGGUGCUGGUGGGCUCCUUGGGGUGCUGGUGGCACCCAAGGGUGCUGGUGGGCUCCUUUUGGUGCUGGUGGCACCCAAGGGUGCUGGUGGGCUCCUUGGGCCGCUGGUGCCACCAGGAGCUCGUCGGUGCCACCAGGAGCUGGUGGUGGCACCCUGGGGUGCUGGUGGGUUCCUUGGGGUGCUGAUGGCACCCAGGGGUGCUGGUGGGGUCCUUGGGGUGGUGGUGGCACCCUGGGGUGCUAGUGGCACCCAAGGGUUGGUGUUGACACCCAGGGGUGCUGGUGUCACCCAAGGGUGCUGCUGGGCUCCUUGGGUCACUGGUGCCACCAGGAGCUGGUGGUGGCACCCUGGGGCGCACUGAAGGUCUAGGGGGGGGUGGGGGGGGUGGUGAUCACCCCGCCGCUUGGGUGCCAGCACCUUUGGGUGCCCCC